UAUGAGACUCGAUCCCAGGUCUCCAGAAUCAGGCCCUGGGCUGAAAGCGGCGCUAAACCACUGAGCCACCUGAGUUGCCCAUGACUGGAACUUCUAAUCUGUAGCCCUUCAGUCAGAAGCACACGUGACAGCCUGGGCUUGCCAUCGGCUCCUGAAAUGGGUCAAGUUACAGAACUGAAAUGCACCCAAACUCUGUAGUCACAGAUACCAGCUCUGGGGAAGAAAAGAAGAAAGUCAGAGAAAGAUCAAGAAGACUUCAUAGAAUGCCUCCUUCAGAGUGCUCCAUCAUGGAGAGACUUCUUGGCAUGCGAAUAUUGGCUUUGGGGUCAGAGAAAACUCUUUCCCUUUUGUCCUGGCUGGAUCAGACGCAAACCUCUGGCCAGGGAAUACCAACCAAAUACCAGCCAGGUCUGAAGAAUACGUAAAAAACAUACACUGACCUGUCCUCCUUGACUGAAGACACCUGAAAAAAAAAAAGCACAAAAUCCAAACAAUGUAGUCUCUGAAUGUGUGAAAAGCAGGAUUUGCAGAAUAAAGGUGCCCUCUGUAGAAACUUCAAAAGUGAUAUAAGGACAGGACCCUGAUGGAGAAUAUUUCUUGGAGGUUGAGGGGAAGUUAGAGGAAAUAGUUAAAGGACUUGGGAAUUCAUAUGACAGUCCUGGUUGAGUCACUAAUUUACUAUGGGAAUGACCUACCUAUUAUCUCUGGCUUCACUGUAGAGAAAUUGGGUUGGAAAGUUUCCUCUAACUUUGACCUUCCAGGCUCCAGUGCCUGCAGCCUCUCCCCAAAGUCCUUGUUACAGGCAGCUGGGGAAGGCACUACUUUUGUUGUUUGUUCUUUGAUCCCCAAAUUACUCUUCUGCCCUUUAUACUCAACCAGCUUUAAAUAUAGACCCAAAUAUAGACUUGUAAGGACAAACUCAUUCUCUUUUCUGCGAUAUAUUUCUCUUGCUACAGCUUUCUAAAUUCUUGAAAGAGAAAAAAAUGUCCAUGAAUACAGUUUUGCUUCUCUCUCUUCCAUCUUUAGGAUUAUGUAUGUGAUUUUAAGUUGUGGCUAAUUAGCUCAGUGGUUUAAAUCAUUCUUUUUUCUUUCUUUUUUUAUGAUAGUCACAGAGAGAGAGAGAGGCAGAGACAUAGGCAGA